UAUGUAUAUGUUAAAAAACGUCCAUUUCUGCUUUAGGUCUUUUUUGUCAUUGUCUAUAUUAUUGUUGGACACGUGUUGUUUGUUCCUUUGCUUCACCAUUUUCUCAGCCAAUGAUAUUCCGAUUUCUGUAAUUGUUCUUUACCCUAUCCGUUCUCUCAUCCAGUAUAUUCCGCUAUCCCAGAAACCCUGAAACCCACCGCCUUCAUAUUUUCUCGCUCUGUUUUUUUUUCUUUUUAAUCGUCACUGGUUAAGAUCGAUAUCUUCGAUUCUUCUAAUUUCUUUUACUUCAUUCUUUUCUCUCUCUUCUCUAAAGCGAUCGUCAACCACAUCGUUGGGGACGACGCUGACGAUCGCCCUACCCCACACCUAUUCAUUCGUGUUAUCUUUCUAUCUUCUUCCAGCUUUUUCAUUCCACCACCAUCAUCUAGCUAUUGAAUCGUCUCUCUACCGCUACCAUCAGAAUCUAGCACCGCUGAGCUCACCAGCUUCAGCGCUGACGAUCGCUACGAGUAUUGGGGUCAGGGGCAGACGCAAGCUACGAGGUAUGGAGGACGUGUUCUACUACUAUAUGGCCUUCCAUUACUGAGAUUCCCUACUCAGCUCAUAUUCAUCUCAUUUUUCUACACCUACACAUUCGCUUCCUCAUCUAUCAAUUCUUCACCUGACAGCUUGGCGAUGAUGUCGUAAGGUCGUAUAAUCCAUCUUUGUGAAUAUGGGUGAAGAAAUGAUUUGGGGUCUCAACAUUUUUCAUGUAUCAAAAUUCCAGACCCUUAAAAAAAUUUAUGUAACCUUUUUGUUGUGUAUAUACCCUUUUUGUUUACAUUGGACUCUUGUGAUUCAAAAGGAUCCGAGUUUCGUUUACGUUUGGAUCCCUUUAAAGAUAAAGAAGACAUUUUUUUUGGCAAUUCUAAUAAAUCAACAAAGUUGUUUGUUUUCCUAAUUUUUUCUUAGAAAUAUCUUUGAAUAAUUCUAUGUAGCCAGCCUACAUGUACUGUUUUAUUAUUUUUAUUUUUGAAGUUUCUUAUGGAAAAUUUGAAUGAAUAUACGAUGGUCUUAAAGGGGCUAAAAACAGGGGUUGAUUUUUUGAACUUCAUUCAAUUUCCUUUGUUUUCAAUAUGCACGAUAGAAGAAAGACGGCGCAGGGGCUCAGAAGUAACACUGAUAAAUGCUUUGUGCAAGAAUCGGUUGUCGUAUGUUGUUGUUAUCGCCUGCAAUUUUAGGGAAAUGAAGGUUGAAGAACAAAAGUACAACUACAUGCCUAUAAGAUAAUAAGAACGAACUGGGUUUCAAUUGAUUUGGGCUGAAAGGAGAAUCAAGAACCAUGGUCAAAGAUGAAGAGUAAUUCUUUUGUUUUUUUAAGGAAAUGAAGGUUGAAGAACAAAAGUACAACUACAUGCCCAUAAGUUAAUCAGGUACCGAGUAUGAGUGGGAGCUAGCACAUAGUGAUGUACAACGUGCUUCAAAUAGUUUAGUCACGGAAAGCAAUCUGCCAAAGAGAAACUUUACAUCUGAUUGAUGACUUUUCUUCAAUAGAGCGGAAAGUAAAGCUUCUAAAUUUUUUCUAGAAGCAAGACAAACGCCACUUUCAGCCAUGAAUUUACAGGAGAUUCAUAGAAGGAUUGAUAUAAGAUGAAAAGGAGCUAUUCUACUUGGCAUAAUCGUGGGUAUGUUUGAAAAAAUUAUAUAUGAAUGUAUCUAUCUAUAUUUACUGCACUUUAAUUUUGUCAAUGGACAUAAUGGUAUUUUCAUCCAUAGUGUACUUUUAACUCAUCUUCUGGAGAGAAAGUUCAAGGGUAUUUUCCAAAAA